UAGGUUAAAGCCCGCUGGCUUGGGUGUGUGAGUGUUAAUCAAAAUUUUACGGGAUCGAAGCCCGUUUUCCUAGU
rnacentral:tRNA from 1 species